AGGCCUCCCUGAAGCCUGAACUCAAGUGCCGCGGCAGGCAGCCAUCAAGGAAGGAAGGAGGCAGGCAGAGUGGCCAUCGCCGGCUGCCUUUUACCCACCACAGUUCUCUGCAGACCCUCUGCCUAGCACAGACCAGCCUUUGCCUGCUUAGUAAUGGAGAUGAUGUCACUAUCUAUACGUUGACAGGGGGUACCACUGCAGCAUGGAACCUUCUCCCUGAGAGACACAGAAUGGUGGAUGACCCCAACAUGGUGCAGGGCCCAUCUGUGGGACUGGACAGGGAUUCUGAAGAAGAGCAGCAUGCUUAAUUGAUGGUAUAGUCACUUCAUCAUUCUUCCCUUUACACCAUUGACACCCACUGUGGCUUCAUUCUGCUUUGUGGCUCUGAGGUCAUAAUAGAGCCGGGUGCAGCUGGCCUGCAACCCUUAAAUACUAACAAAGUGGCUGCAUGGCAGUGGUCAUGGCAUCAGGGGCUCUUAUGAUUGCUGGACUGCAGAGGCUUGUCAAUUUUUUCCCCCUGGCAAAGCUCCUGGGUCCAGCUGCACAAUAAGCUGAAAUUCAACAGGUUACUCUUUUCCUAUCACAGCAUAUUCAAAAUGAGGAAAGUGGCACCUCUUGAAUUUUUGCCUGUGGGACAACUCUUAAAAACACAGAUGGUUGACGGUUAAAAACAUAAGAAAGGCACUGCUGGAUCAUGCCCUAGGCAUGUCUAGUCCAACAUCCUGUUUCACACAGUGGCCCACCAGAUGCUGCUGGAAGCCCACCGGCAGGAGUUGAGGGCAUGCCCUCUCUCCUGCUACUCCCCUGCAACUGGUACUCAGAGGCAUCCUACCUUUGAGGCUGGAGGUGGCCUAUAGCCCUCCAACUAGUAGACAUUGAUAGACCUCUCCUCCAUGAAGUUAUCCAAAGCCCUCUUAAAGCCAUCCAGGUUGUUGGCUGUCACCACAUCUUGUGGCAGAGAAUUCCACAAGUUGAUUAUCUAUUGUGUGAAAAAGUACUUCCUUUUGUUGGUCCUAAAUUUCUUGGCAAUCAUUUUCAUGGGAUGACCCCUGGUUCUAGUGUUAUGUGAGAGGGAGAAGGUGGCAACCAUAGAUCUCAGGAUUAGUAGUACUAAGACAUGGGUUACAACCUUGACAAGCAGUCUUCUGCUAAUAAUCAGCCAGCCAGCCAACUAUACACCUACACAAUCAAGUCAAGGUAAGGAUCAGCCUUCAAUGCUCACUCAUUGUCCAAGUGCUGCAGUGACAGCUCAUGAGCUUUGCAUGCCUCUGAGGCAGCAUGUCAAACACGCCCCCAACCCCAUUGCACACACCCUCCUCCCCUUCUUUCUUUUUAAAAAGUGGGGUCAGGAAUACAUCUUGCUGCCUUGCUGGUACUUCAAUAGUCUGCUGCUUGAGGCAACCACAUCACUUUGCCUCAGAGAAGGGCUGUCCCUGCAAUGCUGUUGACUAAACUGGUCAGCAUAUGCAGGGAUGUUCUUAAUAGUAUGCAGGGUGUGUGUGUGUGUGUGUGUGUGUGUGUGUGUGUGUCUGUGUGUGUGUGUGUGUGCGUUUUUAAUGCAGUGUGCUUGAGAUAGCUGAAUAAGGGCAGCUGAUAAUUUUAAAAAUCUAUUAAUUUUUUAAAAUGCAGGUGUUUUUGUUUGCUUUUUUGGGAGAACCAAGAUAUAUUGGCUCAAAAACACUCCGUUUGCAUAAAGUAAUAUGCUGAAACAGAAUUGACACUGGAAGCAGAAGCAAGGUCACCCAGUUGCUUGUCGAUCUUCUUUAACAAGUCAUAUCAACUUUUCCAUACAUCAGUUGAAUUGUUGCUGAUGUAGGUGAGCUAGGUUUUGAUUUUGGCAUGUCACCAAUGCUGUCUCAUCUCAACUGAAAUCCUUGAACUAACAUUCUCUUUCUCAGGUCUCCGAUGCUGGCUGCAAACCUUUAAAACCACUUACUCAAGAGUAAUCCCAUAGAUGGAAAUGGAACUUUUCCAAUAUACAUGGACUGAGAUUUACAGCCUAAAACAGUCUGUGUCUGCUCUCUCUUCUCUUACUGAGUUUUGCUUUACCAAAGAAUUUUAUCACUACAUGCUUCUCAAAUCUCAUGCCUAUGGCAGUCAUUAGUAUUCUUCCUUCACUGGUGCCGUAUCUGAGAUCUGAGGCACACAAAAGAGCAAGCAGAAACCAAAUAAGAGAAUCUGAAAAUGGCAAAACUCCAUCUACACACACACAUUUAUUUAUUUAUUUAGCAUACAUAUUUUAAAUGUAUGAUUUAAUCAAUCUCCUGCAGGGUGUUUCACACCUCAGUCAGACAUUCUUUCCCAGAGUGCUUUUGGCCACAGAGUCAUUAUUUUACAACACCUGCACAGAACACAGUAAUUUAAGGGCAAGGUUAUAAGCUGCACUGCUUGAAACUAUAAACUCAAGGUACUCAGUGUGGAAGUAACUUGCCUAGGGAGAAAAAGGUUGCUGGUUCGAAUCCCCACUGAAACACCUAUAUCAGGCAGCAGUGAUAUAGGAAGAUGCUGAAAGGCAUCAUCUCAUACUGCGCGGAAGAUGGCAAUGGUAAAACCCUCUUGUAUUCUACCAAAGAAAACCACAUGGCUCCGUGGACGCCAGGAGUCGACACCGACACGACGGCACAACUUUACUUUACCUCUUCUUUACAAAAAAGGGAUGCUGAGUGAUUUUUUAAAAAUCUGCCUACAUUCAAGAAAGUAUUCCUGCAGUCACCAAUCUGCUGAUUCAUAGAAUGAUGCAACUAAAGUGAAGUUGGUUUGAAGCAUGUGCUUCACUCUCCCACUGAAAUCAGCCCAAAACCCCCAGCCUUACUUACUCUAGGGUAAGUAAGAAGGUAAGUCAUUCAAUAUUCAAUAUUGUUGGGACCACUGGUCAUAACAUAACAUAAAAGAAAAAGCACAACAUAUCAAGAAGUUUCAUCGGUAAGGUUAAGCCAAAACUGCUACAAUUUAGAACAUAUAAAUUUCUUUCUGAGUUUAAAAAAAAGCCAGGCAAAGGUGGCAGCUUGACAACUGACAGAUGGAAUCACAUCCACAAGUAGAUAAGUCAAACAUUCAACAUCCGAACCCUUACGUUUAUCUAUAAUCUGUCUCAGUGUUUCCCCACUGAUCACAUCAUAGAUAAGGCAGUAUAAGGCGUAGUAGAAGAUAUCCUCCACUUGACCAGCGCCACAAGGACAAAGGCACUGUUCCACUGGGAGUUUGCAGAAUCUCCCCUUAAGAUAUGCUGUGGGAAUACUUUGGAAGCAUAAAUUGUGAAAGGCUUCCACAGUAGUGCACUGGUAAUAUUAACCAAAUACACUGAGAGACUUCUAUAUUUCUUAUAAGGGCAGUACCAAGAUUAAAACUUUGAAGACUGUACCACAGCAGCAUUUCUACUGGCUUCCUGUUCUAGGAGCCAAUCUCUAAUAUUCCCUCACCGGAGGCAAGGAUAUGAGACGAAUGUUUAGUCCAUUGAUUCCCACCCAUAUAAUGGAAAUAAAAUUUGGCUAGGUAAUGUUCUGGGAAACUAACUUAAAGUACCUUAGCAAUGCUAGAUGGACUCUGAUGGAGAUUGAAGGUAGCCGUACCUCCAUUCUUAGAUAAGCAGCAGGAGUGCCCUGGGAAAAUCCCAAAAUCUUCCUUAGGAAAUUGUUCUGGACUAUUUCCAACUGGGCAAUAGCCUUCACAUCCCACCUCCAGGGCAUCAUACAACAUCGUCAUGCAUCAUACAACAUCCGCAAUAUCACCUUACCCUGAAAUAUUUUAAGUGCCGGGGCUAUUAACUGCCCUCCUUUAGAGUAGAAAAAUUUCCCUAGAUAAAUCAAGCUGUGUUUACAGGCUGCAAUUACCUCUGGAGUCAUCCUAUGUUCAUGUACAAAUUGCAUUUUUUCCAUUUAAACCCGGAUCCUGAAUAAGUGUACUGCUCAGAGGCAGUGUUCCUUGCUGAUAUAUAAUGUAUUCCUGGUCAGGAACUGAAAAGAGGUUGCAGAGUUUUGUCCAUCGAGCUGCAGAAUUUUCAACAUAUUUUUGUUAAAUUUGAUUUUACCUAUUUUAUAUUGAGAAACAUAAUGAAUUCCAGAUUGUAGACCAUCCCUCACCCUAUAGGGGGCACCCCAACACCAAGCUGCAAAAAACCCCACCUUUAAUUAGUAAGUAUUCAUAUUCAUUGUGAUACUGCUUGACUAUUCACACUAACAUAAUGCCACUUCUUAGAGUCACCUCUAACAUUGCUAAUUAAUUAAUUAGCAACUCCUCAAUUAUGCAGCUUGAAGGCUUGCAUGUUAUACUGUGAACAUUGUUUGGUCCAGUAGUGUAUUGCUGCAGGGACGGGUAGGGACACAGUCCAGGAACGGUUUUUUUGCCCUAACCUCCAGGGUCUCAGCAGGGACACAAAGCCUUUGGCUUUCUACAUGGAAAUAAUGUGCUGCUCUUGCUAUCCCAGGUGUUUAUUAUCUUAGGUAGCUUUUUAACUUUUUAGAAUAUCUCUGUAAGUUGGUUCUCUCUUAGUAAAUUUUUUUAGCAGUAACAGAGGUGGCUGUACACAUUAUUGGAUUCUGGAGCAUUUGCACCAGUACUAUCAAGCUUAUGGAACAUUUCUAAGAUUCUUCUCCACUUGACAAAGACCAAGAUCAAAACAGAAGUCACUGGGUCACUGUUGUGGAGAAUUGUGGAUUUGUUUGAAAUAGACUGUAUUACUUUGCAUACAAUGGACUUCACUAUUUCUCCAUCACAAUACAUUUAGCGUUAUCAAUGUGAUUUCCAAUUGUCAUCAUUGGUUGAACGUCUGUUCUAUCUCAGGUUGAGAGUGUCUCUGAUUAUAUACCAUACUAAUUUGUUAUAUACUCUUUGUUACAUGGCUUGUACAUAACAUGGAGGGGAUCUUACUGUUUCUUAUAUGCUUGAUAAUAAGAGAUCCCAAGAUAUAGGGACAUAGGAAGCUGCCAUAUACUGAGUCAAACCAUAGGUCCAUCUAGCUUAGUAUUGUCCAUACAGACUGGCAGAGGCUUCUCCAAGGUUGGAGGCAAGAAUCUCUCUCAGCCCUAUUUUGGAGAUGCCAGGGAGGGAACUUGGAACCUAGAUGCUCUUCCCAGAGCAGCCCCAUCCCUUAAGGGGAAUAUCACAGUGCUCACAUAUCAAGUCUCCCAUUCAAAGGCAACCGAGGCAGACCCUGCUUACCUAAGGGGACAAGUCAUGCUUGCUACCACAAGACCAGCUCUCCUCUCCACAUGAUUUAUAAGAGACAUUAUUUAUAUUUAGUCCUAAUAAAAGCAUUAUCUGACUGACAUUGUGAAUACGUCUGCUCAGUUAUUUUAGAUUCCACUCAGGUUGAACCAGGAAGGCCCCACUCUGAAUGAAGGUACUCACCUUGAUACUGCUGCCCGGAACAAAACUCAUUCCACAUACAGAUGAAGAAAGUGUAUGUAUGUAUUUAUUUAAAAUAUUUAUAUCCCACCCCUCCAGUGCGCUACUGCUCGGGGUGGCUCACAACAAUAAGAUAGACACAAGAUACAAGAAAAGUAAUAAAAUUAACUAAAUUAAAAAAGGUGUCAGAUUAAAAACCACAGUCAUUAUUAGGUUCAAACUAAAGGUUAUUUUAAAAGCUAAAAAUGGAAAAUUAUAAAAAGCUAAAGAACCUACCAAAUAGAACCAAAAAAAUGGAGCAUUAAAAAGCCUCCUUUAAAAAGUGUGUUUUAAGAUGUUUCUUAAAAAUUAGAGAGAACACAGCUUGAGAGAAGAAGUAUAGUUGAAAAUUCAGAGGUGCAGGCACUCACCAUGCCAGCCCACAGCCACACCCACCCCAGCAGCCCCAUCCUAUAACCACACCCACCCCAGCAGCCCCAUCCUAUAACCACACCCACCUCAGCAGCCCCACCCCCAAUGAUUGCUUCAUAUUAUUUGUAUUUUAAAAUGCAGUUUCAUUGUUUUCUGUGCAGACAUGCAAGUUAUGAAAAGAAACCCUUUAAAAAGAAACCUGUCCAGAGCAUGCUGGACUAUAUUAUCACCACCAAUCAGGGGCCAGCAGAGAGCAGGGGGAAAUUUCCUCUAACUACCUUGUGCAAAGAGAAUGUCUUCUGUUCACACAAGAACUAGUCUGGAUGCUGCUCACUAGAUCCCAAUAUACACUUCAUACACUUAUAAAGGAAGGUUUGGAGUUCUGUUGACCUUUGUGGAAUAUCAUGUGUUUAAGCAAAUGAUAUGAAAGUAAAAUGCAUUAAAAGCCACUUGUUAGUAAGUGAUAAUGGCACCAUUGACGCAUGUCACCACAUUGCACUUCUGCUCCUGAGCGGAGCCCAUUUUCAACGUGUAUACAUUGGGUAAAUACAGCUCUAACAUUUUUUCCUGGCCCUCCCUGUUGUGAAAGAAAACAAAGACCUGUAGCAAUGUUUUCCUUCAAAGGCCAAGGGAUAUAGUGGGAAAGAUAGAUUUUGAUCUCAAAGGUCAACAAUCUUUCUGGCUGUGAAAAAUUGCUUGGAAAAGUUUAAAAGAAAUUUAGUUGUAGUAACAAAGUCAGCAUUUAUUCAGCAGCUGAAUACUUUAUUUAUUUUGAGUAAAUGUACUCUGUUGAUACUUUUCUGCUUAGGUUUGCAUCUUAGACCUAGUUCUCACAGAUGAGGUGGUAAGCCAUCUCUUGGCUGAACCACUUCAUACCACAGGUGGGAACUCAGGUAUUUUUUUAAAAACAAGGCAGUCUUCUAUCCCUUGUGGCUUUACUCCGUAAGACAUCUAGUGUGCAAUUACCUUUCCCACUAGUACCUACAAAUUAGAGGAGUUACAUUUAAAAGAAAAUGUGUACAACUCUAAUUUGACCUGACAACUAAUCUCCUUUGAAAUCAUAUAGUACGUUCCAACGAUGGCCAAAAUGAGCUUUUGUUUAGCUUUGAUAACUGCCUAAUGGAAAUGGACACAACAGAUUUUUACAUCCAAGUUAAAGUGCAAAACUGAAGUAAACAUUUAAAUAAUGGAACCUCAGCAGCUUCAAAUAUUCAACCACCUAGAGCCUUUGGAGUCAGGUAGUAUAAACCAAAUAAAUAAUCAAUCAAAUAAAUAAAUAAUAUGUAACAGAAUAAAUCCUACAGUAAUCACAAGCUCUACAAUAUUUUUUGAAAGAUUAUGUAUAAAUCGUAUCACACACAAAUAUACAUUUGCAACAAAUAUUUACCAAUGCUAGUGGACUGUGUCGGUAAAACAACAUCAUGAGGAACUUUUAACAUAUUUGGUGAAAAUAUGAUUUGAUACAGAACUACCAGGGAAACAUUUUUGUCUCUUUCAUUGCUCUUGGGAUCCGCCUUAGAUACUGUGUCAGACCAUUGGUCCAUCUAGCUCAGAACUGUCUACACUGACUGGCAAGGUUUCAGGUAGGAGUCUCUUCCGGCCCUACCUGAAGAUGCCAGGGAUUGAACCUGGGACCUUCUGCAUGCAAAGUGGAUGCUUUGCCAUUAAGCUAGGGUCUCAUCCCAGCCUAUGCUUGUGAUGUGUGGGAAUGGCCUUUUGAAUUGGUCCAGCCGGGCUCUUAGGUUCUUAAUUGGUCUCUACUGUACUUGUAUUAGGAUGUUUUAAUGCACUUGUUAAGACUGAACACAAACAACUAGUAUCUAAUUUACUGGUUGGCUCUAGCACAAUGGCAAGAUAGCAACUCAUCACAUCCCGGUGAGGAAAAGCAAUUUUGUCACGUGGGGACAUGUUCACAGGAUCAUUUUGCCAUGAUAAUAUUUAGCGAAGAAGACACUUAAUGGUAACUCUUCAUUCUCAAACAUGGGCAUGUGAAUAAAUGCAUUUUAGAGCUGGUCUUGUGGUAGCAAGCAUGACUUGUCCCCUUAGCUAAGCAGGGUCCACCUUGGUUGCACAUGAAUGGGAGACUAGAAGUGUGAGCACUCUAAGAUAUUCCCCUCAGGGGAUGGAUCCGCUCUGGGAGGAGCAGAAGGUUCCAAGUUCCCUCCCUGGCUUCUCCAAGAUAGGGCUGAGAGAGAUUCCUGCCUGCAACCUUGGAGAAGCUGCUGCCAGUCUGUGAAGAUAAUACUGAGCUAGAUAGACCAAUGAUCUGACUCAGUAUAUGCAGCUUCCUAUAUUCCUAUGCAUGAUCUACAUUAUAUGUGAUCUGGUCUUUAGGCACUAUUUACCAUAUAGCUGACAUCCUGGAUUAUUAAAAGUUUCUACCCACUGACGAUAAACCAAUAUGAUAAGCAGUGAUGUAGAGAUGGAUUGUGUUCAGUGAUAAAGGGCUUUCAUUGUGUCCAGGGAUCUGUAAUAUUCUGAAAUAAAGGCAACCUGUUUUAAACAAUGGAAUCUGGCAUCCCCAUUUCAAAGACUUGUUCCAUCAAAUGAGUAUGCUGGUCUGUGACCGUAAUAAAGACUGAUUGAUCCAUCAAACGAGCUCCCAAGAUGAAGUUAUGGUAGUGGGAGAAUACUGAAUAGAAUUUUUAAGAUCAGCUUGUGAAGCUUGUGCAAAAAGCUCUUCCUCAGAAAACGCUUUGUGACCAAUUCCAUGGCACUUUUGCUGUUAUACAAGGCCAGCUGUUGCACUUGUUUGCCUUCUCCCUUAGUAUCCUCACACAAAAGCAAACAAGGGGGGGGAACCUCUCUCAGUUACUACUGCCAAUCCCUGUCGCUUUGUUUUUGUGUGUGUGUUUUUGAAAUGGUGGCUGAAGAACACUGGAUACAUAAAGGAAAAAUACGGCUACAUAUUUUUCACAGUAUAUUUUUUCACAGUAUAUUUUGUAUAUAAUGGCUGCAUGUAAGCAUUUGUAACUACUGUAGUUUUAAAUUGUAAAACGUUUUUACCUAAUACAGCUUUUGUGUUUGCAAUUGAAGAAGGUUUAUUUGUUUGUUUUAACCCCAUUAAUCUCCAUGCUUUUGUAAUUGUUCUUGCAAUAAUUAAUGCAAUAAUUAUAGCAUAAUUAUAAUAUA